CUGCUCAAUACCUGCGUGAUGGGAUCCGUACUCCAAACCUCAGAUCACGCAGUAUUCCCACAUAACAAAUCUGCACAUGUACACCCUGUAUCUAAAACAAGAGUUGAAAUUAGCAAAAGAGUGUGCCCUUGUCCCAGGCCUUCUCCCAGGGCCUGGGAAUGAGGAAUCUAAACCACGGUGAAGCCACCUCUGCUAAUGAUGUUUGUUUUUCCUAAAUGACUUUUUUUUUUUUUUUUUUUUUGGCAAAAGGAAUGUGAGACAGUCUUCUUCAGGAAGGUAGUCCGUGUCCCCCUCCAUCAGUGCCUUCAGGUGCUGGGCAUUUCAGUUUACAGCCCUGCUCCCUCUGCGUCCUUGCUGCCUGUAGGUCCUGGCUCAGUCCUGGUGACUUCCAGGUCAUUUCCUCCCUCGCCCUGACCAUGCCAGGCCCAGCCUCUUUCACUCAAGCCAGGGCUUCCUCUGGGCCAGUCUGCGCCAGGCUUCUCCGUGUGCCCCCCGCCGCCUGCCCUCCCGCCGCUGUCUUAGCCGCACCCCAGGACCUCCCAGGGCGCUCAGCAGUUCCGCCUCUGUUUCCAGCAGCUUCUCCACACCUCCGUCUUCCCACCGUGCAGCCUGGACGCCAGGCCUGUCGCUUGCAGCCCUCUCGGGACCUUCUGGCCUCCUGGGGAUUCUUGCACAAGCUGACCAUUUCCUUAUCCUUGCAACUGCAAAAGUCUCCUACUGAACGAACUGAAUGAAGGAGGAUUUGUGUGGAAUAAUACAGCUGAACAGCUGAAAGCUCCUGUUCAUCUGCCGUGUAUGGGUAUUAUCAUUUACUGGUGGGUGGUUUUCUGAGAGACA
rnacentral:lncRNA from 1 species